GACAGAGGGGGCAAGCGUUGCUCGGAAUUACUGGGCGUAAAGGGCGCGUAGGCGGGAUGGCAAGUCGGUCGUGAAAUCCCUCGGCUCAACCGAGGAACGUCGAUCGAUACUGCUGUUCUUGAGGAUUGCAGAGGAGACUGGAAUUCCCGGUGUAGCGGUGAAAUGUGUAGAGAUCGGGAGGAACACCGGUGGCGAAGGCGGGUCUCUGGGCAAUUCCUGACGGCUGAGGCGCGAAAGCGUGGGGAGCAAACGGG
rnacentral:rRNA from 1 species